rnacentral:rRNA from 1 species
AGAGUUUGAUCCUGGCUCAGAGUGAACGCUGGCGGCAGGCCUAAUACAUGCAAGUCGAACGGCAGCACAGCAGAGCUUGCUCUGUGGGUGCGAGUGGCGGACGGGUGAGGAAUACAUGGGAAUCUGCCCAGUCGUGGGGAUAACGUAGGGAAACUUACGCUAAUACCGCAUGCGCCCUUCGGGGGAAAGCCGGGGACCGUAAGGCCUGGCGCGAUUGGAUGAGCCCAUGUCGGAUUAGCUAGUUGGCGGGGUAAAGGCCCACCAAGGCGACGAUCCGUAGCUGGUCUGAGAGGAUGAUCAGCCACACUGGAACUGAGACACGGUCCAGACUCCUACGGGAGGCAGCAGUAGGGAAUAUUGGACAAUGGGCGCAAGCCUGAUCCAGCCAUGCCGCGUGAGUGAAGAAGGCCCUCGGGUUGUAAAGCUCUUUUGUCCGGAAAGAAAGCGCCGGGUUAAUACCCUGGUGUCCUGACGGUACCGGAAGAAUAAGCACCGGCUAACUUCGUG